ACGGAUGAAUCUUUUCCGGCGACACACUUCUGCCGAUACCAGACACGGUGGCGUGCGUCUGAAGCGGUAAUCUCCGGGGGUCAUCGCGUCGCCAGACGGCAAGAGCCGAUGGCUGGUAGAAGCAGAUACGGAGAGAGGAAGUGUGGGUGUUUGUUUAAGUGCGUUUGAAUGGAGGGGGACGCUUUAUUUCCUCCCCUCUGAGUGAAACUCAACACGGUGGUGCAGGAGAGGAGGCUCAUUCUUUUUGUUCGGCGCACUGAGUCAUGCCAUUGGUGUUUAGACGGCGCAUUUCAUGUUAUUAAUGUGCCUCGGGGACUCGGUUUGAGCUCAUCAAUGAGAUGAAUGUGCAGACGCAUAAUGGAACGGCCAGCCCUAGAACAGGGCAGCUGAACCCUUGGUUGUCCCCAGAGGAGGUUGUGAAACAACCCCAGGACGACCUCAUACGGAUGGCGGUUCUGGGGCAGGGCCUGUCGUCCCAUUACACGCCCCAGCGGCCCUGGAGAUGAACAUGAUCUUGGAAAUGGAGCAGACGGAGAAACAGGCCGCGGACCCAGGCCACGGGCCCCUAGGGUUGGGGGUCCCCAGAGCCCAUGGCUCAAUGACUCGGGUCAAUAUUUUUCAAAAUCAUCACUAUUUGUUGUUCAUAGUCCUUAAAACUGAUUUUCAAUGUCAAUCAUACUUGAGUUUUAGUUUUUAACCAGCUUUGUAUACCAGUUUUAACAGCUAACCGCGGGUUAAUAUGAAGCCGGAAACCAUUUCAUCCCUAAUCCACAUGAAAAAAAAAUGUUAAGCCACGAUGACGCAACUCGCUUGUG